AAUCAUUAAAGCAACAUCACUGCUCCUUCACUUCUCACUCAUUCACUGGCAAUAUGACGGCACAAACUCUCAUCUGCUCUCUAAUGCUUUUACUUACAGGUUGUUUUGGUGAGAUUAUUCUCACUCAGAGUCCCACCAUUCAGAUGGUGUCAGUAGGAGAGAGCGUCACUCUCAACUGUAGAUCCAGCAGUUCAGUUUCUACUUAUUUAGCCUGGUAUCAUCAAAAACCUGGACAAACACCCAAACUCCUUUUCUCGAGUGUUGGUAGCCGAGUGUCUGGAGUGUCUGAGAGAUUUACUGAUGGAAGAUCAAACACAAACUUCAUGCUGAAUAUCAGAAAUGUUCAGACUGAAGAUGCAGGAGAUUAUUACUGUCAACAGUAUUAUGACUUUCCACUCACACAGUGAUACAGAGCCGUACAAAAACCUCCUCCUGACAAAGAGGAACUACAGACACACA